CCCUGGAUGGCUCAGUCUAUUGAGCGUCUGACUUCAACUCAGGUCAUGCUCUCACGGCUUGUGGGUUCAAGCCCCACGUCGGGCU
rnacentral:tRNA from 1 species